AACGAACGCUGGCGGCAUGCCUAACACAUGCAAGUCGAACGAGACCUUCGGGUCUAGUGGCGCACGGGUGCGUAACGCGUGGGAAUCUGCCCUUGGGUUCGGAAUAACAGUUGGAAACGACUGCUAAUACCGGAUGAUGACGUAAGUCCAAAGAUUUAUCGCCCAAGGAUGAGCCCGCGUAGGAUUAGCUAGUUGGUGAGGUAAAGGCUCACCAAGGCGACGAUCCUUAGCUGGUCUGAGAGGAUGACCAGCCACACUGGAACUGAGACACGGCCCAGACUCCUACGCAAGGCAGCAGUGGGGAAUAUUGGGCACUGGGCGAAAGCCUGAUCCAGCAAUGCCGCGUGAGUGAUGAAGGCCUUAGGGUUGUAAAGCUCUUUUACCCGAGAUGAUAAUGACGGUACCGGGUGAAGAAGCACCGGCUAACUCCGUG
rnacentral:rRNA from 1 species